CUUCUGUUUGAUCUUUCGCCUUGCAUACGUAUCUGUACGCUGCGACAUACCCAUAGUGUUUUGACAAGAAGUGCCAACUUAUGCCGUAUUUUUUGUAAAUAAAAUUCUUGACAGGAUUCCAUCGUCUCGUUCCAUCCAGUUUAACAGCCAUGUGAAAAUGUUUUGCCCCGUUGGCAUUAUCUUCUAUGCAGCAGGCCCACUGGACACUUGCUACUUUUAUCGUUAUUGAAAGCCUCUAGUACAAUGUCGAAAAAUGCCAGACAAUUCGGAAAUCUAUCUAAAUUUGCCCUUGCGUAAGUUAUGAGGUAUAUCCGUCGGUUCUCACGUUCACUAAGUGACGAAUUAAAGUCAAUUUGAUUCGACUCUUCGUUAAAACUCGUGCUAGCUUCACCGCUCUCCAUUAUAUCGUAUUUAAUGUAUAUAAUAUUAAAUCUUAACAAUGUUCAAACCUAUGAGAAGUACUUUGAAAAUUGGCGCCAAAAACUAGCGGAAGUACAUUAGGCAAACCCUUAUUCAAAUGGCCAAUCACAUGCGCAGUUUUAAAUAGGAAGUUUGAACUUUGUAAUGAAAUUAACAAGGUCAUAAUAUAUUUUGCCAAACUACAAACUAAAGUGGUAAAAAAAAUUAAAAGCGGGCUAAAAUCGAGAGUAAUGUAUGGGAAAAUUCCAUAAUUUUUCCCAUUCAAAUUCAUACAAUCCUGGACAUAAAUUAUUGGCAAAAGGCUAAAAACUAAGAAAAUUCAUCGAAUUUCACCCCCCUUCCCCUAAUAUCAAUGUUGAUCGAUGUAUUCGAGGCCAGAUAACUUGGCAAAACAUUGAUAUUGGGGGAAGGGGGGAUCAUUGGGGCAAAAAUGUCUUAAAAUUAUAUUUUGAAGCAAUAAACUGUUUUUUGCCACUAUUUUUGUCCAGGAUUG